GCUACUGUGGCUCAGCUGGCAGAGCAGCUCACUCGUAAUGAGCAGGUCGUCCGUUCGAAUCGGAUCAGUAGCUCCA
rnacentral:tRNA from 2 species